GCGGCCGCGGGCGACUCCUGGUACCCCCGAGGCCCCGCGAACUUACCUUCACAAAGCUGUCGGCGUCCGGGAAGCCUGGCAGCACCAUCUCUCCGUCGGAUUUGGUCGCGCUGGUCGCCGACAGGACCCUGGGCUCCCGGGUAAGCUCCUGAAGAAAGCGUCUAGCUCCAACUGUGCUUCCUCCCUCCAGUACCCUCUGAACUCCUCCAAGCAGACGUUGUUUCCUGCAGACAUCGCUGGAACCAUUCUGGUUAACACAGAGUGGGAACUCAGUACACAUUUGUGAAGUGAACUCCUGGAAGAGCUCUUGUGAGGGAGGCACCGAAUUAUCAGGCAGCUCAAGAGAUAGAUUCACUCUCCUGAAAUUAGAGAUGGGAUGCCCUUAAUACAAUUCAUUCCACCCAUUAAGUCUUCAAUAAAUGUUCAGCAUAUCCAGUUAA
rnacentral:antisense_RNA from 1 species